AAAACAAAUACGUAGGUGGCAAGCGUUGUCCGGAAUUACUGGGCGUAAAGGGCGUGUAGGUGGUCUAACAAGUCAGGUGUGAAACUCUGGGGCUCAACUCCAGGCAUGCAUUUGAAACUGUUGGACUUGAGGGCAAGAGAGGAAAGUGGAAUUCCUAGUGUAGCGGUGAAAUGCGUAGAUAUUAGGAGGAACACCAGUGGCGAAGGCGACUCUCUGGUCUAUAACUGACGCUGAGGCGCGAAAGCGUGGGGAGCAAACAGG
rnacentral:rRNA from 1 species